rnacentral:lncRNA from 14 species
GUUAUGCCUCAGCCUUCAUGAGUCCUCAUAUGCCUUCGCUGGAGCCUCAUGCCUGAGGCAAAUUAAAGUGACCUGCUUGCAGAGUGAGCUAUGGUCUUCAAGGUUACAUGAAGGCUUCCUGCAGACCCAUAUUGAAUGCAAAGGUCCAAGCUUACCAUCUACUAAGAAAGGAUGAAGGGCAUAACAAAGCCAAGUUUUGCAGAGUCCGGAAUGGAAACUUAUCCUCUGUUAAAGAAUGCUACAGAAAAACUGUGAGAUCAGAG